GAUGAAGAACGCAGCGAAAUGCGAUACUUGGUGUGAAUUGCAGAAUCCCGUGAACCAUCGAGUCUUUGAACGCAAGUUGCGCCCGAAGCCAUUAGGCCGAGGGCACGCCUGCCUGGGCGUCACACGUCGUUGCCCCCCCAUCUACUCCUUCGGGAUUGCGGGGGGCGGAUGAUGGCCUCCCGUGCGCCUCGCCGCGCGGUUGGCAUAAAUGCCAAGUCCUCGGCGACGCACGCCACGACAUUCGGUGGUUGCGAAACCUCGGUUGCCCGUCGUGUGCGGUCGUCGCGCAUCGAGGGCUCGAAAAAAUUGCCGGGUUCCGGCUCGGCUUUCAACGCGACCCCAGGUCAGGCGGGGUUACCCGCUGAAUUUAAGCAUAUCAAUAAGCGGAGGA
rnacentral:misc_RNA from 1 species